AUUGAACGCUGGCGGCAGGCCUAAGACAUGCAAGUCGAGCGAGAAAGCCCUUCGGGGUGAGUACAGCGGCGGACGGGUGAGUAACGCGUAGGAAUCUACCCAGUAGUGGGGGACAACUAGUGGAAACGCUAGCUAAUACCGCAUACGCCCUAAGGGGGAAAGCGGGGGAUCUUCGGACCUUGCACUAUUGGAUGAGCCUGCGUGAGAUUAGCUUGUUGGUGAGGUAAUGGCUCACCAAGGCAACGAUCUCUAGCUGGUCUGAGAGGAUGAUCAGCCACACCGGGACUGAGACACGGCCCGGACUCCUACGGGAGGCAGCAGUCGGGAAUAUUGCGCAAUGGGCGAAAGCCUGACGCAGCCAUGCCGCGUGUGUGAAGAAGGCCCUAGGGUUGUAAAGCACUUUCAAUUGGGAGGAAAAGCUAAUGGUUAAUAACCAUUAGCCCUGACGUUACCUUUAGAAGAAGCACCGGCUAACUCCGUGCCAGCAGCCGCGGUAAUACGGAGGGUGCAAGCGUUAAUCGGAAUUACUGGGCGUAAAGCGCGCGUAGGCGGUUUUUUAAGUCGGAUGUGAAAGCCCCGGGCUCAACCUGGGAACUGCAUCCGAUACUGGAUAACUAGAAUGCGGGAGAGGGAGGUAGAAUUCCAUGUGUAGCAGUGAAAUGCGCAGAUAUAUGGAGGAAUACCAGUGGCGAAGGCGGCCUCCUGGCUCGACAUUGACGCUGAGGUGCGAAAGCGUGGGGAGCAAACGGGAUUAGAUACCCCGGUAGUCCACGCCGUAAACGAUGUCUACUAGCUGUAGGGGUACUUGAGACCUUUGUAGCGCAGCUAACGCAAUAAGUAGACCGCCUGGGGAGUACGGCCGCAAGGUUA
rnacentral:rRNA from 1 species